rnacentral:rRNA from 1 species
AAUCCAUAGGUUAAUGAGGCGAACCGGGGGAACUGAAACAUCUAAGUACCCCGAGGAAAAGAAAUCAACCGAGAUUCCCCCAGUAGCGGCGAGCGAACGGGGAGGAGCCCAGAGCCUGAAUCAGCAUGUGUGUUAGUGGAAGCGUCUGGAAAGGCGCGCGAUACAGGGUGACAGCCCCGUACACAAAAGCGCAUGUGCUGUGAGCUCGAUGAGUAGGGCGGGACACGUGGUAUCCUGUCUGAAUAUGGGGGGACCAUCCUCCAAGGCUAAAUACUCCUGACUGACCGAUAGUGAACCAGUACCGUGAG